UACGUAGGGACCGAGCGUUGUCCGGAUUCAUUGGGCGUAAAGAGCUCGUAGGCGGCUUGUCGCGUCGUUCGUGAAAACCCGGGGCUCAACUCCGGGCUUGCGGGCGAUACGGGCAGGCUAGAGUUCGGUAGGGGAGACUGGAAUUCCGUGGUGGAGCGGUGAAAUGCGCAGAUAUCAGGAGGAACACCCGUAGCGAAGGCGGCACUCUGGGCCGAUACUGACACUGAGGAGCGAAAGCGUGGGGAGCGAACAGGA
rnacentral:rRNA from 1 species